AGAGUUUGAUCAUGGCUCAGAUUGAACGCUGGCGGCAGGCCUAACACAUGCAAGUCGAGCGGUAACAGGAAUUAGCUUGCUAAUUCGCUGACGAGCGGCGGACGGGUGAGUAAUGCCUGGGAAUAUGCCUUAGUGUGGGGGAUAACUAUUGGAAACGAUAGCUAACACCGCAUAAUGUCUUCGGACCAAAGAGGGGGACCUUCGGGCCUCUCGCGCUAAGAUUAGCCCAGGUGAGAUUAGCUUGUUGGUGAGGUAAGAGCUCACCAAGGCGACGAUCUCUAGCUGGUCUGAGAGGAUGAUCAGCCACACUGGAACUGAGACACGGUCCAGACUCCUACGGGAGGCAGCAGUGGGGAAUAUUGCACAAUGGGCGCAAGCCUGAUGCAGCCAUGCCGCGUGUAUGAAGAAGGCCUUCGGGUUGUAAAGUACUUUCAGUGGGGAGGAAGGUGUUGUCGUUAAUAGCGGCAGCAUUUGACGUUACCCACAGAAGAAGCGCCGGCUAACUCCGUGCCAGCAGCCGCGGUAAUACGGAGGGUGCGAGCGUUAAUCGGAAUUACUGGGCGUAAAGCGCAUGCAGGUGGUUCAUUAAGUCAGAUGUGAAAGCCCGGGGCUCAACCUCGGAACCGCAUUUGAAACUGGUGAACUAGAGUGCUGUAGAGGGGGGUAGAAUUUCA
rnacentral:rRNA from 1 species